rnacentral:rRNA from 1 species
UACGUGCGGGGCGAACGUUGUUCGGAGUCACUGGGCUUAAAGGGUGCGUAGGUGGUUGCGUAAGGAACGUGUGAAAUCCCUCGGCUUACCCGGGGAAUUGCGCGUUAUACUGCGUGACUUGAGGAUUUCAGGGGAAUGGGGAACUCCAGGUGUAGCGGUGAAAUGCGCAGAUAUCUGGGGGAAGGCCGGCGGCGAAGGCGCCAUUCUGGGAAAUUCCUGACACUGAGGCACGAAAGCGUGGGGAGCAAACAGG